rnacentral:tRNA from 1 species
CAAGACGUAGCUUAAACAAAGCAUUCAGCUUACACCUGAAAGAUGUCUGCUAAGCCCAGAUCGUCUUGA